rnacentral:rRNA from 1 species
CAAUAGCGUAUAUUAAAGUUGUUGCAGUUAAAAAGCUCGUAGUUGGACUUCUGCGGGUGGCGGCCGGUCGUGCUCGAAACGGGCGUGAACUUGGCGUGCUGCCCGCAUCUUUGGGGAGAUUGUGCGUGGCAUUAAGUUGUCGUGCAUGGGAUUCUCAUCAUUUACUGUGAAAAAAUUAGAGUGUUUAAAGCAGGCCUUUGCCUUGAAUACAUUAGCAUGGAAUAAUAAGAUAGGACCGUUGUCUAUUUUGUCGGUUUACAGAUGUCGGUAAUGAUUAAUAGGGAUAGUUGGGGGUACUCGUAUUCAGUUGUCAGAGGUGAAAUUCUUGGAUUUUCGGAAGACGCACGACUGCGAAANCANNNACCAAGGAUGUUUUCAUNAA